UUUUUAGGUGCCUUCUGAAGAAAAAGCAUGCUUUCUUCCUCUUUGAACACAGUGCUGGGUAUAAAAGAAGUGGUGUGAAGGAAUGCAUGACAUCUUGGAGGAUGACCAGUGGAUGAGGAGGUGAAAGUGCUGCCGAGGGGUUUACAUUGAUGAUGCUCCACCCAGAAACUUCUCGGGGACCAGUGAUGAGGAAAAUAUCCCUCCUCCUGCUUUCACAGACCUACUGGCCAUUUAACUGUCCAGCAAGCUUAAAGGCCUUUAAAAGAUGGAAACCAAAAUCUACCUUUGAUGAUUCGCCGCCACACGGGUAGUUCCGUUAUUCCCAUUGCUCUCAUCGUCAUGCUUCCCUUCAUCUCCCCGGCCGUUGUCAACUCGGCCCAUCAACGCUCCAAUUGGACCCUCCAG
rnacentral:lncRNA from 1 species